rnacentral:sRNA from 1 species
UUUGAAUAAUCUUCUCCGCCUUCCGAUCAACAUACGUACCAUCCGACUUAGUAUGUGUCUCUACAAACACCUCAUAAAGAGUGACCGUUCUUCCGGAUUUCUCCUCCUACAAUGAAACCAACACAGCUCAAAUACUC